UAGUCCACGCCGUAAACGAUGACAACUAGGUGUUGGAGGUAUUGACCCCUUCAGUGCCAAAGCUAACGCAUUAAGUUGUCCGCCUGGGGAGUACGAUCGCAAGAUUAAAACUCAAAGGAAUUGACGGGGACCCGCACAAGCGGUGGAGUAUGUGGUUUAAUUCGACGCAACACGAAGAACCUUACCUGGGUUAGACAUCUAUAGGACGGUUUUUAGAGAUAAAUUCUUUUCCUUUUGGAACUUAUAGACAGGUGCUGCAUGGCUGUCGUCAGCUCGUGUCGUGAGAUGCUGGGUUAAGUCCCGCAACGAGCGCAACCCCUAUCUUUAGUUGCCAACACGUAAUGGUGGGGACUCUAGAGAGACUGCCGGCGUAAGCCGCGAGGAAGGUGGGGAUGACGUCAAAUCAUCAUGGCCUUUAUGCCCAGGGCUACACACGUGCUACAAUGGCAGGUACAAAGAGUCGCUAAGCCGCGAGGUAGAGCUAAUCUCAGAAAACCUGUCCCAGUUCGGAUUGG
rnacentral:rRNA from 1 species